rfam:Acidobacteria bacterium RIFCSPLOWO2_02_FTLL_61_28 rifcsplowo2_02_scaffold_5833, whole genome shotgun sequence.
CCCAGGACUCACGUCCUGGGCUAGAAUCUGCCGCUCCUCCGGAGCU